GACGAACGCUGGCGGCGUGCCUAAUACGUGCAAGUCGAGCGCAGAAGGUUGGUGCUUGUACCAACUGGAUGAGCAGCGGACGGGUGAGUAACGCGUGGGGAAUCUGCCUUUGAGCGGGGGAUAACAUCUGGAAACGAAUGCUAAUACCGCAUAAAAACUUUAAACACAAGUUUCAAGUUUGAAAGAUGCACUUGCAUCACCCUAAGAUGAUCUCCCGUUUUCUUAGCUAGUUGGUGAGGUAAAGGGCCAACAAGGCGAUGAUACAUAGCCGACCUGAGAGGGGGGUCGGCCACAAUUGGACUGGGACACGGCCCAAGCUUCCACGGGAGGCAGCAGGAGGGGAACUUCGGCAAUGGACGAAAGUCUGACCGGGCAACGCCGCGGGGGGGGAGGAGGUUUUCGGAUCGGUAAAAUCUUUUUGUUGGGAAGGAAGAUAGGUGGAAUUGAAAGCUCAUAAAGUGACGGUAACUACUCAGAAAGGGACGGCUAACUACGUG
rnacentral:rRNA from 1 species